GGAACAACGAAAAGGUCAUCGCAGACAAAAUGGCGAGCACGUUUGCGUACAGACGAUAUGAGGUGGUAAACCAAGAACUAAGCAUUCAAGACUUGAAGGAAAGAUGGCCUGCUCUCUUCACACAGAAAGAGAUUAAUACAGAGUUCCAGAGGAUCACGGCUGUUCCUCUUGAGGAGAAGUUCAUGGCACAGUUAGACAUGCACUCAAGUCAGCUGAUCAAAGUCAUCCGUGCCAAAGGAGGAGCAACACGCCAAAAGACUUCAGAUAUCAUGGACACUUUGGACCAGACUGUGGACAUUAAUCUUCGGAGGGAAUGUGUGCUGAAAGCCCUCACCAUCUUCAUGGGAGAAGAUGUAAAUGACCUCAUCAAGGAAUAUCUUGACUCUGGAACAGAUGAUACUCAGAGGGAGCUGGAGCAGCUCACCAUGGCAGUGUUUGUCAUUCGGAAGGAG
ensembl:lncRNA